UCACAAAUAAACAUUAACGACCACGUGUCACAUUCUAAUUGGAUGAUGAAAAUGUUAGAACUGACUUUUGGAUGCACCUUUUCAUGUCCAAUCAGAAUGUGACACAUGGUAGUCAAUGUGA
rfam:Glycine soja cultivar W05 scaffold5_53, whole genome shotgun sequence.